rnacentral:rRNA from 1 species
UACGAAGGUCCCGAGCGUUGUUCGGAAUCACUGGGCGUAAAGGGAGCGUAGGCGGCGCGGUAAGUCAGAUGUGAAAUCCCGGGGCUCAACCCCGGAAUUGCAUCCGAUACUACCAUGCUAGAGUACUGAAGAGGUGACUAGAAUUCUCGGUGUAGCAGUGAAAUGCGUAGAUAUCGAGAGGAAUACCAAAGGCGAAGGCAGGUCACUGGGCAGUUACUGACACUGAGGCACGAAGGCUAGGGGAGCAAACGGG